rnacentral:rRNA from 1 species
UGGGGAAUUUUGGACAAUGGGCGCAAGCCUGAUCCAGCAAUGCCGCGUGCAGGAAGAAGGCCUUCGGGUUGUAAACUGCUUUUGUACGGAGCGAAAAGGUCCUUUCUAAUACAGAGGGCUCAUGACGGUACCGUAAGAAUAAGCACCGGCUAACUACGUGCCAGCAGCCGCGGUAAUACGUAGGGUGCAAGCGUUAAUCGGAAUUACUGGGCGUAAAGCGUGCGCAGGCGGUUUUGUAAGACAGGCGUGAAAUCCCCGGGCUCAACCUGGGAAUGGCGCUUGUGACUGCAAAGCUGGAGUGCGGCAGAGGGGGAUGGAAUUCCGCGUGUAGCAGUGAAAUGCGUAGAUAUGCGGAGGAACACCGAUGGCGAAGGCAAUCCCCUGGGCCUGCACUGACGCUCAUGCACGAAAGCGUGGGGAGCAAACAGGAUUAGAUACCCUGGUAGUCCACGCCCUAAACGAUGUCAACUGGUUGUUGGGUAUUUACUUACUCAGUAACGAAGCUAACGCGUGAAGUGACCGCCUGG